rnacentral:rRNA from 1 species
AGACCCGAAACCCGGUGAUCUAGCCAUGGGCAGGUUGAAGGUUGGGUAACACUAACUGGAGGACCGAACCGACUAAUGUUGAAAAAUUAGCGGAUGACCUGUGGCUGGGGGUGAAAGGCCAAUCAAACCGGGAGAUAGCUGGUUCUCCCCGAAAGCUAUUUAGGUAGCGCCUCGUGAAUUCAUCUCCGGGGGUAGAGCACUGUUUCGGCUAGGGGGCCAUCCCGGCUUACCAACCCGAUGCAAACUGCGAAUACCGGAGAAUGUUAUCACGGGAGACACACGGCGGGUGCUAACGUCCGUCGUGAAGAGGGAAACAACCCAGACCGCCAGCUAAGGUCCCAAAGUCAUGGUUAAGUGGGAAACGAUGUGGGAAGGCCCAGACAGCCAGGAUGUUGGCUUAGAAGCAGCCAUCAUUUAAAGAAAGCGUAAUAGCUCACUGGUCGAGUCGGCCUGCGCGGAAGAUGUAACGGGGCUAAACCAUGCACCGAAGCUGCGGCAGCGACACUAUGUGUUGUUGGGUAGGGGAGCGUUCUGUAAGCCUGUGAAGGUGGCCUGUGAGGGUUGCUGGAGGUAUCAGAAGUGCGAAUGCUGACAUAAGUAACGAUAAAGCGGGUGAAAAGCCCGCUCGCCGGAAGACCAAGGGUUCCUGUCCAACGUUAAUCGGGGCAGGGUGAGUCGACCCCUAAGGCGAGGCCGAAAGGCGUAGUCGAUGGGAAACGGGUUAAUAUUCCCGUACUUGGUGUUACUGCGAAGGGGGGACGGAGAAGGCUAUGUUGGCCGGGCGACGGUUGUCCCGGUUUAAGCGUGUAGGUGUGUGUUCCAGGUAAAUCCGGUUCACUUUAACACUGAGGCGUGAUGACGAGGCACUACGGUGCUGAAGCAACAAAUGCCCUGCUUCCAGGAAAAGCCUCUAAGCAUCAGGUAACAUCAAAUCGUACCCCAAACCGACACAGGUGGUCAGGUAGAGAAUACCAAGGCGCUUGAGAGAACUCGGGUGAAGGAACUAGGCAAAAUGGUGCCGUAACUUCGGGAGAAGGCACGCUGACAUGUAGGUGAAGUGAUUUACUCAUGGAGCUGAAGUCAGUCGAAGAUACCAGCUGGCUGCAACUGUUUAUUAAAAACACAGCACUGUGCAAACACGAAAGUGGACGUAUACGGUGUGACGCCUGCCCGGUGCCGGAAGGUUAAUUGAUGGGGUCAGCGCAAGCGAAGCUCCUGAUCGAAGCCCCGGUAAACGGCGGCCGUAACUAUAACGGUCCUAAGGUAGCGAAAUUCCUUGUCGGGUAAGUUCCGACCUGCACGAAUGGCGUAAUGAUGGCCAGGCUGUCUCCACCCGAGACUCAGUGAAAUUGAACUCGCUGUGAAGAUGCAGUGUACCCGCGGCAAGACGGAAAGACCCCGUGAACCUUUACUAUAGCUUGACACUGAACAUUGAGCCUUGAUGUGUAGGAUAGGUGGGAGGCUUUGAAGUGUGGACGCCAGUCUGCAUGGAGCCGACCUUGAAAUACCACCCUUUAAUGUUUGAUGUUCUAACGUGGACCCGUAAUCCGGGUUGCGGACAGUGUCUGGUGGGUAGUUUGACUGGGGCGGUCUCCUCCUAAAGAGUAACGGAGGAGCACGAAGGUUGGCUAAUCCUGGUCGGACAUCAGGAGGUUAGUGCAAUGGCAUAAGCCAGCUUGACUGCGAGCGUGACGGCGCGAGCAGGUGCGAAAGCAGGUCAUAGUGAUCCGGUGGUUCUGAAUGGAAGGGCCAUCGCUCAACGGAUAAAAGGUACUCCGGGGAUAACAGGCUGAUACCGCCCAAGAGUUCAUAUCGACGGCGGUGUUUGGCACCUCGAUGUCGGCUCAUCA